AAAAAUGAUGAAAUUUGGACCACUAAAUCCGAUGUUACUAAGUAGCGGUGGCAUAGAUGAUAUCGUAACUUACAUUCAAGAGCUAACUAAGUGUGCUCCUAAUUUAUAUUGAGUAGGUUUUUGAAAAUUUAAGUUUUUAUAAUGUUUUUAGGUAUGCAAGUUUUUUAUGUGGGCUAGAAUUCCAUAAAGCAAUAAAGUUAAAGUUGUCCCCUAUUACUUUUUGGGGUAGAAAAAUGCCAAUUUGUGUUUGGGAAUUUCUCUGGAAACUUGAUUGGGCUUUUUGAACGCCGUGAGGACCUAAAGAAUUUUGAACGUGUUUAUGUAGAUCUAGAGAUCGACAAAAAAGAGGUUGCACUUCGCUGAUGGAGCGUGAGGACUUUCGUGCCUUCUCAUUCGAAGGUCGUGUCCACCCCCAGAUUCCAAGAACAAUUGAAGACAAGAGCGUGACAGCAGGUGGAACGAGUAUCAUAGUCUAUGCGUCCGAUUCCAUGCUUCGGCGGUUUAAAAAAAAAAUCAUUGACCCUUUUUAAUGACGGAACGCAUGGAACUAAUCAAUCAAAAUUCAUUUUGAUCACUUCUAUGGUUAAAGAUGAAAGAGGAGAAGGCGCUCCGGUAAUGCAAGUCAACUCUGAGUCAGAGUCGACAGAGAUUCUUAAAACUACAUUCAAUGUUUUAAAUCAUGUGGCGCCAGAGGAAGUUCAGAAGGUGAAGGUUUUGGUGUCGGAUUUAGCUGGGGCUUUCGCCUAGGCGUGGAGAGGAUUGUUCCCAAAUUACGUGGUCAGACACGUAAAAUGUGCCUGGCAUGUGGAAAACGCGUGGAGGAAGCAACUAUUGCCCCAUGACUCUGAAUUCUACCAGUGCUUACGACGCUUGCAGACAAUCCCUGAGGAAAGCGAAUUCUGGGUUUAUUACAUUAAACUUCAACAUGAUAGAUAGGAUACUAAGACGAAUGGGUGGACCUAUAUUGAAGAAAAUUAUGGUCCAAAUGGAAAGAUUUCAAAACCUCAAGAGUGGGCGCGUUGUUUCACUGUUGGUUCUAUCGAUCACAACUUGAAUAAUUGAGCGGUUAAUAAUGUUCCGUCAAAACAUUUCAAUUAAACCCUCUAAGAUGUUACUUUCUUAAAACCAAACAUCCAGCCUCAAUAUCGUCAUUGUCAUACAUUAUAGGUACCAUCGAACCAUUAAAGACUUUGGGCUCAAAAGGAACAAAAGAAUGGACGAGUUAUGUUUCGACUUAACAAGAGUUGAUCAGUGGGUUUGCCGAAAACAGGCUUUUAUACGUCAUGCAAUAAGAGGAGCACACAAGUCAUCAAGAGUGCAAGUUACGUUUCAGUCCCGGCACCCAGAAAAUCCAAUCAGGAAGCGGAACGUCUCUAAAACACCAACUUAUUUCAGCCCAACACAAGAGCUGAUCCAAGAGUGAGGGAACUCUCCUGUAGACGAUCCUUGUUGGAUGUCUUUGCUGACUAUGAACAUCAAAUUAGUCUUCAGCAAGCUCCAUGAAUGUUCCUCUAACAUUAGGAUUGAGAGUUUUGUGGACAAAUCUAAUUUGGCUAAGUCUAUUUGGAACUGCAACAAAUGCGGUGACCUGAGUAAAAUCAAGCGUGAUUUGGGUGGUUGCAUCCAAUGCAAUAUAUGCGAUCAAUGGUUCCAUGCCGAAU